UUAUCCCCGUUCCCCUCCCCACCUGCGGGGGUGACGGUGCAGGGCAGGACGUUCUCCCCGGCCGACAGCGACACGAAGAAGGCGAACGGGAUCAGCCACAGGCAGAACGUGAAAUAGGCCAGGACCUGCGGAGUGACCGACGUUCCCAACUGAAUUCCCAACAUUCCAACCGGCAUUCCCAAAAUUCCAACCCAGAAUUCCCAACAUUCCAGCCCAAAAAACCCCAAAAUUCCAACCCUGAAUUCCCAAAAUUCCAACCCUGAAUUCCCAACAUUCCAACCCAAAAAAACCCAAAAUUCCAACCCAAAAAAACCCAAAAUUCCAAGAAUUCCCAUGGAAAAAUCCAACCCAAAAAUUCCCAAAAUUCCUGCUUGGAAAUCCCAAAAAUUCCAACCCAAAAAACCCCAAAAAUCCCCAAAAAUUCCAAUGGAAAAUUUCCAGCCAGGACCUGCGGAAUGCCCAAAAAUUCCAACCGGAAUUCCCAACAUCCCAACCCAAAAACCCCAAAAUUCCAAGAAUUCCCAUGGAAAAUUCCAACCCAAAAAUUCCAAAAUUCCAACCCAGAAUUCCCAAAAUUCCAACCCAAAAAUUCCCAAAAUUCCAGCACAGAAUUCCCAAAAUUUCAGUUUGAAAUUCCCAAAAAUUCCAACCCAGAAUUCCCUAAAAUUCCAGCCUGGAAAUCCCAAAAUUCCAAGAUCAUUCCCAGAUUUUAAUCAAAGAUUCAUUUCAUUAAUAUUUUAAUUAAUU
rnacentral:lncRNA from 1 species